AGUGGGGAAUAUUGCACAAUGGAGGAAACUCUGAUGCAGCAACGCCGCGUGGAGGAUGACGCAUUUCGGUGUGUAAACUCCUUUUAUAUGGGAAGAUAAUGACGGUACCAUAUGAAUAAGCACCGGCUAACUCCGUGCCAGCAGCCGCGGUAAUACGGAGGGUGCAAGCGUUACUCGGAAUCACUGGGCGUAAAGCGCGCGCAGGCGGCCUGAUAAGUUGGAAGUGAAAUCCUAUGGCUUAACCAUAGAACUGCUUCCAAAACUGUCAGGCUAGAGUCUGGGAGGGGAAGAUGGAAUUAGUUGUGUAGGGGUAAAAUCCGUAGAGAUAACUAGGAAUACCAAAAGCGAAGGCGAUCUUCUGGAACAGUACUGACGCUGAGGCGCGAAAGCGUGGGGAGCAAACAGGAUUAGAUACCCUGGUAGUCCACGCCCUAAACGAUGAAUGUUAGUCGUCGGGAUGCAAGUCAUUUCGGUGAUGCAGUUAACACAUUAAACAUUCCGCCUGGGGAGUACGGUCGCAAGAUUAAAACUCAAAGGAAUAGACGGGGACCCGCACAAGUGGUGGAGCAUGUGGUUUAAUUCGAAGAUACGCGAAGAACCUUACCUGGCCUUGACAUUGAUGGAACACUGUAGAGAUACGGUGGUGCCCUUCGGGGAGCCUGAAAACAGGUGCUGCACGGCUGUCGUCAGCUCGUGUCGUGAGAUGUUGGGUUAAGUCCCGCAACGAGCGCAACCCUCGUGACUAGUUACUAACGGUUCGGCCGAGGACUCUAGUCAGACUGCCUUCGUAAGGAGGAGGAAGGUGAGGACGACGUCAAGUCAUCAUGGCCCUUACGGCCAGGGCGACACACGUGCUACAAUGGGGAGGACAAUGAGACGCAAUACCGCGAGGUGGAGCAAAUCUAUAAACCUUCUCUCAGUUCGGAUAGCUCUCUGCAACUCGAGAGCUUGAAGCUGGAAUCACUAGUAAUCGUAGAUCAGCCAUGCUACGGUGAAUACGU
rnacentral:rRNA from 1 species